UAGGGAAUCUUCCACAAUGGGCGCAAGCCUGAUGGAGCAACACCGCGUGAGUGAAGAAGGGUUUCGGCUCGUAAAGCUCUGUUGUUAAAGAAGAACACGUAUGAGAGUAACUGUUCAUACGUUGACGGCAUUUAACCAGAAAGUCACGGCUAACUACGUGCCAG
rnacentral:rRNA from 1 species